UUAUGAUUCAGGUGAUUGGAAGUGGGGCUGAUAUUAUUUCCAUAACAUGAUCGUUCAAAUGUAGAAAUGGGGGUAUAAAGAAGGAAAGUCACUUUUUGGCUUUGGAUUUGAUUUUUGACAAAAUAACAAGUAGACUACAACUGUGUAAAUAAUUUAAUCUGAAUUGCUAUCUCCAAAUUGUUUUUUUGUUUCUGUUUUGUUGUUAAAUUUCCCAUGAUCCUAAUUAUAUGGCCUUUAGCCAUCCUGCCACUAUUUGAAAUACCUAAGAAUUAUCCGCAUUUUCAAAUUGGAGAUAUUCUUGUGGCUAUUAGUCUUGCGAGAGGUUAUAGCUUAUCUAAUUAUAUUUUUGCCGGAACCACUUCAACGCUUUUCACAAUCUAGCAUCCUUGGCGAGGCCAACAUAGAUCUGGAUGAUUUUGUUGAUACACUGAAGCCUACAGCUGUCGCUUUGCCUCUUAACGGAAGUGAGCCUGGAGUCACACUACAUCCAGGUUAUAGUGCAGCUUCUCACUUCUAAAACAGGUUUUAGAGAAUUUGAACAGCAGAGGGAGCUCAGAGAUAAAGGUCUAUAGACAACCUCUGACCAAGGUACUCAUGAUGGAUCUACUGAUAGCAAAGAGUCAUCUCCUGACAAGAAUGUCAAUAAUCACAUUAAUAAGGCCAAUUCAAGAGGGAAAUUGAAAAGGGAAUCAAAAUAUCUCCGCCGUACUUCUUCACUUGAAGGAAAAGCAGGGUUAAAUGAAGAGUGCGUUGACUCAGCUGCUGGAUUUGAUCAUGGUUCUUCUACUACUUCUGAAAGUGUAAAUACUGAGAAGCAUGAUAUCUGCAGUACGCAUGAAGUGGACAGUUUUAAAAGCACAAUCUCUGGUGAUUUAGGUGCACUUUCCCUUGGCCAAAGUCCUCAGCUAGAGAAAGGAGAAGCACCUGACAAUCAAUUUCCGUCACUGGACAAUGCUUGGGCUCAUGGUUGGAGCAAAGACUAUUCAACUGCCAAUAAUUUGGUUGCUGCUUCCAAAGACUAUAGCAGCAGCAGUCUUAAGGGAAGUUUAGAAGCAGUUGACUCAUCUAUUCUUGACAUAGGACUUGACAUAGUCAUCAUACCU